AUUGAACGCAGGCGGCAUGCCUUACACAUGCAAGUCGAACGGCAGCACGGGAGCAAUCCUGGUGGCGAGUGGCGAACGGGUGAGUAAAGUAUCGGAACGUGCCCAGUCGUGGGGGAUAACGUAGCGAAAGUUACGCUAAUACCGCAUACGAUCUAUGGAUGAAAGCGGGGGAUCGCAAGACCUCGCGCGAUUGGAGCGGCCGAUAUCAGAUUAGGUAGUUGGUGGGGUAAAGGCCCACCAAGCCGACGAUCUGUAGCGGGUCUGAGAGGACGACCAGCCACACUGGGACUGAGACACGGCCCAGACUCCUACGGGAGGCAGCAGUGGGGAAUUUUGGACAAUGGGCGAAAGCCUGAUCCAGCCAUGCCGCGUGCAGGAUGAAGGCCUUCGGGUUGUAAACUGCUUUUGUACGGAACGAAAAGGACUGCCCUAAUACGGUGGUCCCAUGACGGUACCGUAAGAAUAAGCACCGGCUAACUACGUGCCAGCAGCCGCAGUAACAC
rnacentral:rRNA from 1 species